UUUUUCAAAUCAAAAUUUUCACGAUGUAUGUAAAAUAAAGUUCCGGUUAUUGGAACCGAGGUAUGUAACCGGCUGAGAUUGAGAAUUAGAUGAUUCUCUUCUCGUAGUUUGGGCCUAAGCCCAAAUAUUUGACGUGGUUUAAAACCCGACCCGUUUUGAUAUCGCCGAACCGCCAUAGUUCACUGGUACGAAACGAACAAGCUGAAUAGAGGAGGAGACGGAGAAGCAGCACUGAAAAAGACGAGACGAAAAUGGCAGGCGGAAGCGGCGGUGGAAGAGGAGGAGGAGGAGCAU
rnacentral:lncRNA from 1 species